rnacentral:rRNA from 1 species
UACAGAGGUCUCAAGCGUUGUUCGGAUUCAUUGGGCGUAAAGGGUGCGUAGGCGGCGCGGUAAGUCGGGUGUGAAAUCUUGGAGCUUAACUCCGAAACUGCAUUCGAUACUGCCGUGCUUGAGGACUGGAGAGGAGACUGGAAUUUACGGUGUAGCGGUGUAAUGCGUAGAUAUCAGGAAGAACACCAGUGGCGAAGGCGGCUCACUGGUCCGGUACUGACGCUGAGGUGCGAAAGCCAGGGUAGCGAACGGG